AACAGAAAGAUUUUAUAUAUUUAAUCAAAUCGGUUUGCAUUACAUGGAACACAAUCUGAUAAAGAUAUUACAUGAUCUCCUAUUUAUUAACCAUGAAACUGGCAUUGUAUAACGUAAAUGUAAAACUAUCUUGUAGUAGCCCCAUUCUCGACCUUUCUAUCAACAACUUAGCCAUGCAUCAUCUUCGUCUCCAUCGUCCUUCAUGUUGGAUGACAAGCUUCUCUAUGAACUUCCUGCGAAUGCCUUCUAUGACAUUGUUAUAGGAUGAAUUACCGCCACCCUGCCCAUGGUUCGGUACUAGAACUGACUGGCAAUGCUCCACUGCAACAGAUUAAAUAAACAAAAUGAAAAUUCAGCAUGAGGAGAUGGAAGCCGCAUGUAAUGCUUAAAUAUUCUAGGAUUGAUCAUUUAUCGAAGGAAAGCUCACAUCAGUUCAAUGUAUUGUAAUAAUGCUUAAAUAUUCUAGGAUUGAUCAUUUAUCGAAGGAAAGCUCACAUCAGUUCAAUGUAUUGUAAUGACCAAGAAAAAUUCUUGUCGUUCCUUAUUCCUAGCAGAUGCUUGAUUUAAUUGUAACAAGAAUGUAUAACUGUGAACUAGGCAUGCCACUCUGUUAGCACUCUUAAAUUUUUUACCUCAAUCUUUUUCUUUUCUUUUGCCAUAUGUCGCAAGCCAAAAUUACAUUAGGACCAUAUAUCUAAUAUAUAGAAAUGCAUGUCAUAAUGAACAUGGUCCCUCUUAGUACAAAAAGAGAAUUCUCAUCCUAAGAUCAAAGAUUACUCACGUUAAGGCAUCUUGAUGACAGUAUACACAAAUAUUGUAAAUUGUAUACUGCGAUUGGGUAAUUGCAACUUUAACAUAGCCACACACACUGUUAUUUUUUUUGUCCAGCCAACUAAAUAAAGAAGAGUAACUUCAAUUAACCUCAGAAAAAGAAUACUUGAACUAAGAUAAUGGAAACUAAUUGUGUCAUAUAACUUACAUUCAGGUGUGCAUUUCGUCCCACAAAGCUGCUGCAGACCAACAAAAAUCCCUUUGGAAACAUCCUAUAUGGGUAGUUGGGAAUAUAGUUAGUGGAGAUAAUUUAACAAACUUGAUUUCUGUGUAUUUUGUCACCAGUUCCUCCAGGAAAGUCUAAAGCAACCCAUAUUCUGGUAUCCUGCGAUAAGUUCAGCAGAAGUGUCAGAUAAUGAACUCUCAAGGUAGAAUUUCUAUCUAAAGUGUUUCCUGUAUUAUAAGCACCUUUCAAAAAAGGUUAAAUCGGAAAUGCAAAAUGGAGCUUGAACUCUAGGUAGCUCUUUAUCUGAAACAUCCAUGUGCAAAAGGAUUGUUGAAAUCACCAUAUUUGAGGGGCUAGUGUUUAUCUUGUGUGGCAUUGUAGCUUUUCAUCUCUUAACUUUCUAUCUAGAAAUCUUUACCAGUAAUCUAUAUUUUGUAUGAUAUUUGUUUCUACCUUUCAAUGAACUUUUUCUUCUAAGUUUACAGUUCAACAUCGAACUCACUACCUAUAGGGCAAUACUCUGAGCAAUAAAAAUAAAUAGUUCAUAAUUUUUGACGUGACGAGUUUCGUUUUAAGAACUAUAUAUAUCAGGAAAUAACUAAUCUUUUUUUUGCAGGGGAGGAAAUAACUAAUCUGGUGUUCUUGUAAAUCUUGAACUAUGGCCUGCUAUCUUACUUAUAUUAACAUUGUAACUGUUCGCAAUGUUCACAUUACAUUUAAGUUCUAUAUGAUUUAGAUAAAAAAAUAAGCUAAACAUCCCCCACAACAAAAAAGUAGCCAUAUUUUCAUAUAUAAUGAAGGGAAUUAUAAAGUUUUGCCUGCCGCUUGAGCAGACAAUUCUUUAUUUAUUAGGAAAAACUGGUCCAGAGUCUAAAAUAGAUGCCAUACAGUAUAAGAAAUAAGAUCAGGGUUGCAACAUAUUGGGUUUCAGUCAAAAAACAUAUUGGGUUCUAUACAGAUCAGUCUAAACGGACUAACUUGACUCAUCCUCAUAUCCCGACAAACUGUUCUCAGAUGGAGUAUAUUGAAGCAUGUACAUUAGCAUAUUGAAGUAUGGUUUGAAAGAACAUGGAAAAGCAUUAACACUACUAUGUAGUGAACGCUCCACGAAAGUUUCAAGCACAAAUACCUUGCAUUGAUGCAUUGGCGGGAAUUAAAGCAUUACUCUGGUCCUCUGCAAGAACACGUCUUUGACAGCAAGCUAGAGGCCAACACCUGUAACUACACCGGACUAAUCAUACUCAGCCCUUCCUUUAACCUAGCACCAAGUGUUUCCUCCCCACCCACGUGUGCCUCGCCGUCGAUUGUACUCACUCCCAGUACAACGGACACCCUUUCCCCUCUAGGCGAAUUGCUUCCAGCAGACAACACGCCACCAGUGAUCUAAUAUUCUGAUACUAGCACUUUAAAUCAUCCGCCUCUCCACUUGAAAACACCGUGGGCAGAUCAUUACCUGAAAGAUAUAGCCAUCUCAUCGGUUAUGUUUUCUAGGGGACUAAUGAAAAACGCCAAGCCACAUAAAAAAUAAUCAUACAUUGAAAUUAAUUAACAAGGGAAAACGGUGUGCGCUGUACAUAUAAUGAACAUUGCUGUAUAUAUAUUAUAUAAUAAGAUGCAUAGACAUGAACGAUGCAUACACACCGUGUUUCGUAUUGUCAUGGUUUCAAUUAGAGUCAUACAUGGUGGCAGCACUACAUGAGAAGGAUAGAGGUACACAAGUAAGCGCUCAGUGAUACAAUCUCAAAGGAAGGAAGGGAAAGAGACAAACCGUGUGAUGUUAGGCAUCCUCUGAUUUACGGAGUGUAGUGACAUUGAUGCCGGUGCAAGCCAGCGCCCGCGGCGGUGGAUCGGGAUGAGCAGUCAAGGUAGAGUGGAUUGUCAUCACGAUGGCCGGCAAAGAAUCCGCCCUGGCCUGCCACAGAAAGAACCAAAUAGUGUAAGAGAAGAGCGGGUCAGAGGAGGAGUGGCUUGCUGAACCGUGAGCGGCGUCGGAGUCGAGAUUGCUGAGGCGGAGCAGCACCACCAAGGCCGAGCCGGGAGCGGCGCGUGCGGAGACGUGGCGCGGGGCAGUAGGUCGACAAACCAGAGGAGGCGCGGGGCAGUAGAUCGACAAGACAGAGGAGGCGCGGGGCGUUGGUGACCUGUGGUUAACUAGGGUUGCGGCGGGCCGCAUGUGGGCGCGGAGGAAGUCGCCAUGGCCAGGGAUCGGGGAAGGGUAGUGAGGGGUAGCUGCUCCUGUGAGCAGCGGCGCAGCAAGCGCCGGAGCUAGGCAGAAUCACUGGUGGCGGCGGCGGCGGCGUUGUGGUCACGGAGAGAAUAGAUUUGGCUUGGCCGCGUACUCCUUGAUGGAGGAGGCAGAGGUAAUGUGUAGAUUUUUUUUUCUGUGAAUAAUGUGAGGACCUCGAUAACUGCCGA
rnacentral:lncRNA from 1 species